rnacentral:rRNA from 1 species
AUGCAGGAGUUCACCCGUGACAGGGAUAGGGGCGCCGGCAGGAAGUGCGUGCCUGCGCUCCACAAGAUAUAUGUCACGCCGCGCACCACCAACGAGGGCCUGAGGGGAGUCUACGGGAAGGACGUCGUGACGGUGGGCAUCAAGAAGCAUGUCCCGGCAGACUAUUUCGCCACUACCGCCACGUUGAUGCCCCCGGGGAGUGUCCGUGUUCUCCGACAAGAGCAAGAAGCUGCCACAUGCGUCGAAUCUGCCGCCUUCGCUCCCCGCCUCUUCCUCAUUACGGUGGCGCGCGACGGCCAAAACUUCAUGAAGGUAUUUGAAUGUGGUAUGGAUCAAUGGCAUAACCAUGUGUCUUCUGUAGCAUAUUGCUUAGAUGUGAGGGGCAGUAGCAAUAAGGGCCUUCGUUUCUUUACGUCCUCCCUUUCUUCUAGCCUCCUCGAGUCCAGCGGCUGGAGUCCACAUGACCUGCUUCCCCCCUUCGUGUGGGUGAGGCAAGGAGAUGAACAGAUCCGGCAAGCGCUUGCAGAGAACGAGGCCAACGUUGUCGCUGCCAGCGGAGUCCACGCCGUUGUCUACCUCAUCUUAUCUUUCUGCGGUACGGCAAAACAAAUCACACUCAGUUCAUUUCUGUACCCAUGCUUUUGUUCCAGUCAUUUUUGGUUCCCAGGUUGUUUCACUUUCCUAUAG